rnacentral:tRNA from 1 species
GCACUUGUAGCUCAGUUGGUAGUAGCAAUUGCCUUUUAAGCAAUGGGUCGGGCAUUCGAGUUGCCCCAAGUGCA